AAUGUAUACGUUACAUUGUGAAUUGGAAUAUGAGAUAUGAUUUUGAGAUCGACUAGAAAAGUACUCGUGAUUAUACAUUUCUUCUAGUCACUGAGGGGCCUUGACCGUGUUCUAUACUAGACUGAGGUGUCUUGGAUUGGGGAUGAAGAGGUCUCAACCGUGUACAUAUAGUUCAUUGAGGGGCCUUGGCUAUACUCUAGACUUGAUUAUGAGAGGUCUUUGAGACCGACAUUCAUUCACGGAGGGGUCAAAGGCCCGUGGAGAAAGUUCUUAGCCCGAGGAGUAGAUUAUAUAUUUCAGCCAGAGGGUACAUUUUUGGUGAAUUUUUCAGUACGUUUGAUGUGAUGAGAUUAUAGCAUGGUUAUCAAUUGAUGUCUAUAUCAUGAUUUUAAGAUGAUAUUUUAUGACCUUAUGUGAAAAUUUCACUUUUGGCUAUAAUUAUAUGAUGUUAUCUUGCGAGUUAUCAAUGAUAUGAACUCGAUUUUCGAUAAAAAUGAAAAAAAUGAAAAAGUAUAAUUAUUUUAGAAUUUAUCUACUCACUGAGCUAUCAUCUCAUAUAUUUUCCUGUAAUUUCUCUACAGGUGGAAAUUGAUUCUUUUUAGCUGGAAGAGCCUAAUGAUUUUAGAAUGAGAGCCAUACGACAUGUUGAGUGUUAUAAUUUAUAUUGAUGAAGCACGAAGUAAAUAUUUUGGGUCCAUAGCAUUAUAUUUUACAUAAGCAUUUGAUUUUGCAUUUUUUGAAAU
rnacentral:sRNA from 1 species